GUCAAGUGUACUGAUUUUAAGUUUUUACUUGCAACGUUUGACCACUCGUUUUAUUCAAAAUUUUUUGAAAUUAUUAUUUAUUUUAUUUGUGACUUACUUUAUUAUUUACAGUACUUUAAGCACAACUUUUUAAUUUUUAUAUUUGCAAAAAAAAUUUGAAUAAGACGAGUGGUCAAACGUUACAAACAAAAACUCAAAAUCCCUUAUA
rfam:Oryza glumipatula chromosome 7, whole genome shotgun sequence.